rnacentral:rRNA from 1 species
AGAGUUUGAUCAUGGCUCAGGACUAACGCUGGCGGCGUGCCUAACACAUGCAAGUCGUGCGGAGUUAUAGUGAUAGCAAUAUUGUUAUGACUUAGCGGCGAACGGGUGAGUAACGCGUAGGUAACGUACCCCUCUGCUGGGGAUAACCGCCCGAAAGGGUGGCUAAUACCGAAUAGUUUCAUUCUGGGGCAUCCUGGAAUGAACAAAGCUUCGGCGCGGAGGGAGCGGCCUGCGUCCUAUUAGCUAGUUGGUAGGGUAACGGCCUACCAAGGCGACGAUGGGUAGCCGGUCUGAGAGGAUGGUCGGCCACACUGGAACUGAGACACGGUCCAGACUCCUACGGGAGGCAGCAGUGAGGGAUUUUGCGCAAUGGACGAAAGUCUGACGCAGCGACGCCGUGUGGGUGAUGACGGCCUUCGGGUUGUAAAGCCCUGUCUUGGGGGGAAGAGAGAGGACGGUACCCCCAGAGUAAGCCUCGGCUAACUACGUGCCAGCAGCCGCGGUAAGACGUAGGGGGCAAGCGUUGUCCGGAAUUACUGGGCGUAAAGAGCUCGUAGGUGGGAUUAUAAGUCAACGAGCAAAUACCCUGGCUCAACUGGGGUUUCAUCGUUGAUACUGUAGUUCUUGAGGACAGGAGAGGAAAGCGGAAUUCCCGGUGUAGCGGUGAAAUGCGUAGAGAUCGGGAGGAACACCAGUGGCGAAGGCGGCUUUCUGGCCUGAUUCUGACACUGAGGAGCGAAAGCCAGGGUA